rnacentral:rRNA from 1 species
UGGGGAAUCUUGCGCAAUGGGCGAAAGCCUGACGCAGCCAUGCCGCGUGAAUGAUGAAGGUCUUAGGAUUGUAAAAUUCUUUCAGCGGGGACGAUAAUGACGGUACCCGCAGAAGAAGCCCCGGCUAACUUCGUGCCAGCAGCCGCGGUAAUACGAAGGGGGCUAGCGUUGCUCAGAUUUACUGGGCGUAAAGGGCGCGUAGGCGGAUUGACAAGUUGGGGGUGAAAGCCCGGGGCUCAACCUCGGAAUUGCCUUCAAACCGUCAGUCUUGAGUUCGGGAGAGGUGAGUGGAACUCCGAGUGUAGAGGUGAAAUUCGUAGAUAUUCGGAAGAACACCAGUGGCGAAGGCGACUCACUGGCCCGAUACUGACGCUGAGGCGCGAAAGCGUGGGGAGCAAACAGGAUUAGAUACCCUGGUAGUCCACGCUGUAAACGAUGAGUGCUAGUUGUCGGCAGGCAUGCCUGUCGGUGACGCAGCUAACGCAUUAAGCACUCCGCCUGGGGGAGUACGGUCGCAAGAUUAAAACUCAAAUG